AAGAAGCUGUGAUAUUUUUCUACAUCUCCUCAGCCCAGUACCUCAUUGUCUCAUUCAUUCUCAGUAUCUCUCUUCUCUCUUCGCGUCAUUCGUCUUCAGCCUCAGAGUGGUGGCGUGGGUCUCAGCGAGUCAGCAUCGUCGUCAGCGCUGUGGUGCUCUACUUCCAGAGUUUCAAUGGAGCCUCAGACUUAGGGGCAAAUGAUGAUGAUGAGGCGGAGCAGAACCAUCCAUUGCAUCAAUCAAAGAAGAGUUUAAAUUUCUUUGUUUAUGUUUCUUUAAAAUUAUGCCUGGUCCGUUUGUGAUGUAACAGAAUAAUUUUGAACUGGCCUGACUCAAUCUUGUAUUUGAUUUAUAUAAUAAACAUAUUCUUAAUAAUUUUUUGUA